UACAGAGGAUGCAAGCGUUAUCCGGAAUGAUUGGGCGUAAAAGGCUUGUAGGUGGCCACGCCAAGUCGGAUGUGAAAUCUCCCGGCUCAACUGGGAGGGGUCAUUCGAUACUGGCGGGCUCGAGGCCGGUAGGGGGAAGUGGAAUUCCCGGUGUAGUGGUGGAAUGCGUAGAUAUUGGGAGGAACACCAGUGGCGAAGGCGGCUCACUGGACCGGAACUGACGCUGAGGCGCGAAAGCGUGGGGAGCAAACAGG
rnacentral:rRNA from 1 species